rnacentral:rRNA from 1 species
AUGGAGGGAAAACAACAAUGGGACAUGGUGGACCCUGGAUUCAAGCUUUGCGCUACAGAUCUGAAGAGAGCAGCAGGUAGACCAAGGAAGAGUCGAAUCAGACCUCGCAGCGAAGGAGCUGGACUUGGAGCGAGGAAGCGUAAGUGCACAAGGUGUGGUGGGUCUGGUCAUUUCGGUAAGUAUUGUGAUAACACAGUAGAUCCAGCGUUCGGAGAGAGUUUCGAUGAAGGCUUCGAUGAAAAUGUUGGUCAGCAGCCGGUUGCCUCAACAGAUGAUGAAAAUGAUGGUCAACAGUCGGUUGCAUCAGAUGAGGAUUUUGACGAGGUUCCAAAUGAUGAUGGUCAACAGCCGCAUGAUUUUGACGAUGAUCCAAAAUAUCCUCCAAAUGAGGAUUCAAGUGAGGCUCCAAAUGGUGAUCCAAGUGAGGCUCCAAAUGGUGAUCAUGGUGAUCCAAGUGAGGCUCCAAAUGGUGAUCCAAGUGAGGUUCCAAAUGGUGACCAGCCUUCUGUUGUUGUGAGUUCUGCUAGGUAUGUAAAUCUUGCAAAUACUACUAUACAUUUAUCACUUGACAUGAUCCCAUUACCCUUUAUGUUUUGCACAGCUCUGUGGUAG